rnacentral:rRNA from 1 species
CACGUAGGGUGCGAGCGUUGUCCGGAAUUAUUGGGCGUAAAGAGCUCGUAGGCGGUGUGUCGCGUCGGCCGUGAAAACCUGCAGCUUAACUGUGGGCUUGCGGUCGAUACGGGCAUCACUGGAGUUCGGCAGGGGAGACUGGAAUUCCUGGUGUAGCGGUGAAAUGCGCAGAUAUCAGGAGGGACACCGGUGGCGAAGGCGGCUUCCUGGACCGACACUGACGCUGAGGCGCGAAAGCUAGGGGAGCAAACGGG